GAUGAACGCUGGCGGCGUGCCUAAUACAUGCAAGUCGAGCGAACGGACGAGAAGCUUGCUUCUCUGAUGUUAGCGGCGGACGGGUGAGUAACACGUGGAUAACCUACCUAUAAGACUGGGAUAACUUCGGGAAACCGGAGCUAAUACCGGAUAAUAUUUUGAACCGCAUGGUUCAAAAGUGAAAGACGGUCUUGCUGUCACUUAUAGAUGGAUCCGCACUGCAUUAGCUAGUUGGUAAGGUAACGGCUUACCAAGGCAACGAUGCAUAGCCGACCUGAGAGGGUGAUCGGCCACACUGGAACUGAGACACGGUCCAGACUCCUACGGGAGGCAGCAGUAGGGAAUCUUCCGCAAUGGGCGAAAGCCUGACGGAGCAACGCCGCGUGAGUGAUGAAGGUCUUCGGAUCGUAAAACUCUGUUAUUAGGGAAGAACAUAUGUGUAAGUAACUGUACACAUCUUGACGGUACCUAAUCAGAAAGCCACGGCUAACUACGUG
rnacentral:rRNA from 1 species